UAGUAUAUAAAUGUAAAGUUUUGUUAUUAUGAUAUAUUGGAUUAGUAUAUGUGUGAGGAUUAUGGUGUUUUUGUAGCGUUAAAGUACUUUUUAGGAAUUAUUUUAUUUUUAUUAAAUUUAGGUUUUUUAAUACCUUUUGUAUUAGGGGUCUUUAAUGUAAGUAGAUAUUAAUUUUUUCUCGAUGAAUAUCGGGCUAUUUAAUUUUAUUUUGUUCUCGUUGUAUAGAGAUUGUUGAGGAUUAUAUAGUGAUGAAAUAUUAUUCAAGAUGUUCUAUAUCUAGUUUUUUUAGAUUAAUAAUGGAGUGUAUGUUUAUUUGGGAUGUAAGUAGGGAUUAGCUUAUUUAUGGUUUAUAUGCUUUUUUGUUAUAGUUUAUUCGUGAAGUUAAAAGUUCUUAUUGUUAUGGUGUUAUUACUAGAUAAAUAUUUUUUAUAAUUUUUUUUGUUUAUAUUAGGAUAGGAAAUAUUAUAUUAAUUUUGUAUGUUAAUGAUAUAAUGAUGAUAUUAGUAAUGUUGAUAUUUAUAAUUUAAAUUUUGAAUUAAAUAGGUUAAUUGAGGGGUUAGUUAUUAUUGAUAAAGAAUUAGGCAAAGAUUGGCCUUUGACUGUUUAGCAAAAACAUUGUUUUUUGUUGUGGAAUAAAAAAUAAUUUCUGCCCACUGUUUUAAUGAAGGGCUGCAGUAUUUUGACUGUAUGAAGGUAGCAUAAUCAUUAGCUUUUUAAUUGGAAGCUGGUAUGAAGGGGAAACAGAGGUUUGCUGUUUUAUUUUUAAGUGUUGAAUUUUAUUUUUAUGUGAAAAAUCAUAAGUUUAGUAAAGGGACAAGAAGACCCUAGUAAGUUUUAUUUUUUAUUUUUAAUGCGUGUAUAGGAAUAAAAAUUUAUGUAAUUUAUUAUAUUUAGUUUAACUGGGGCGGUGUGUUGUUAAACAUAACUUAUUUUUUAACUUAUUUGAUGGCGGUUGAAUAGACCUAGGUGGUUUAGUUGAGUGUAAAAUUACUGUAGGGAUAACAGCGUAAUUUUUUUUAAGAGUUCUUAUUAACAGAAAAGUUUGCGACCUCGAU
rnacentral:rRNA from 1 species